UGAGCCGCACACGGGAGCUUGGCGGAUCCAGGCUGAGAGGAGGGCGUCGAGCCCUCGACCGUCGAACCUGAACCGGAUAAUGCCGGCGCAAGGGAGACUCUUCACCCGUGCC
rnacentral:ncRNA from 1 species